CUCCAACAGAAAUGAGGUUAGGAGUUAUGCUGACAGAGGAACAGAGUACUCCCCCGACUCCACUAAUGAGGAGUGUUUUAAGAUUGAGGAGUUUUUCAAAGGGAGAUUCAGAACCUGAGAUUGUUCGCUAGGCUAAUGUGCCCUGGGCAGCAUAUUUAUUUAGGAAAGAGGGUUUUUAGUUUGUGUGAACUGACCUGCUCCAGACCGUGAGUAAUGGGGAAUUGAUACCUGAACCCAUUUUCCUCUGAUCCUCAACUUUCUGCAUAUGCAUUGUUGUUGUUGUUUGUUUACCUUUUGAGCAGGAUGGACCGCACCAAUCAGCUUGUCCCCCCGGAAGUCCCUGACUGUGGCUAAGUCUACCCCUCGGCGUUUCCGAACCGGUACUGAACCCACAGAGCCUGGAAGCUGUGUGGGCGCGGCACGCGCCUGCGCAGUUCCGUCAACGCGCCCCUGCCCAGGGCGUCCGGCACCUCUAGGUCUGUGAGAACCCAGGCUGCCUCAGCUCUGCCAGCAGCGUUUGUUGAGCUGCGCAUCAAUUGCAGAGUCCUUAUAAUACGGAGUAGAGAAGGUCGUUGGAGCCCGACCUGUUGGAGGACACACAGAACGUUUGUGGGGGUCAAGUUCCCGAACGUUUCUCCUCAGAGGACUAUUAGGCCUUGCGGGGGGGAUGGCAGAUGUUCAGGCGUUCCGGUGAGACGUGGCUUCAGGCUGCAGGGAAACAGGAGGCUGUCCUGAGAUGGCAGAGAAAUAGGAUGGGAGACCACUUUCUCCCCCAUAAAUUCAUCAAAAGAACAUUUGAACGCUGAGUAAAUUCCACAAAACAACUUCUGAAUGCCGGCAGAGGACAUCAGGCACCCAGAAAAGCAGCCCAUUGUCUUCGAAAGGAGUUCUGGAGGCUAGAAAUUCAAGACCAAGGUGCCAGCAGUGUUGGUUUCCGAAUGUGUGUGUAUCUGGAUGAUCCUUAUGUGACAGCUGGCAACUGGGCCUGAUGGAUAACUUAGGUGACCUCUGGAGAGUAUUCCAUUGUGACUAGAAAGUUCUGUUCCCGUGUGGAAACAUUGAGUCCUGGGGCAAAUGAUAAACUUCAUGCUUGAUAAAAAAACAACCAAAAGAUUACAUCAUGAAUAACGCUGGGCUAGAAGAAGCACAAGCUGGAAGCAAGAUUGCUGGGAGAAAUAGCAAUAACCUCAGAUAUGAAAGUGACACCACCCUUAUGGC
ensembl:lncRNA